UCUCUAUUUAAGUGGAGCCUUCUAGAAUGUUUGCUGGAAACUAUGAUGCAUUUCGGUUCUGGAUCCUUUCACAUCUCAGAGUGAUCAGCUGUCUUGAGGGUGAAAUGACCAUUAUGGCCAGAUAAAGAAAUGUCCCUCUACCACACAGUAAGGAUCACGCCUGGAAUUUGAAUUAAGGUCAACAUUUUGCUGAAAUAUGUCCUAACAAGGAGUGGUGGAAAAUGAUAUCUGAGAAGAAAGUCUCAAGACUCACCUGCUGUGAAUUUUAGGUGUCAGCCGUCCAGUCCUGUUUGCUCUCACUGUUACAGCAAGGCGUCUCUGAUUUGUGACGGGGGCAUGAAUGCCAUUAUGUACUGUUGCCUUCAUGAAAGUGACAGAAGAAUGCUGAACACUUCAUUCCACAAAGAAGGCACUCAAGAAUGGUUUUUCAUUUCUUUCCCUUCAGUCUUGAGAAGGAGAGAGGAGGCACAAGCUAGGGGAGGAGCCAGAGGAGAUUUCAGCAAUGGAAUCAGAUGGCAUUCAAAUCAGAAAAGCCCCAUCCUCUGUACACAACCUGAAAAGCAAAGGUGGUGGAUGAGAAACAUAUGAAUGUGACCAGAUACCCACACAAGAUCCCUCCUCUUAUGAUGCACCUGUGCUUAUAAGCACUAAGAAGCUGCAGACCCCGCCUUGCUAAUUAGUGAACAUCUGUUGUCUGAAACAAAGUCCUGUAUGUUGUAGCCAUUAAGGAACUGCCAAGUGAGUAAGUAAAGAUGGUGAUGGAGCAGUUAGUUACUGCAACUAAAAUCUGACUCCAUUAUUUAAGAAACAUUUGGUGAGGAUUGCUUUUAAAUAUUAAUUCAUAGAGCCUUGGUUUCAUCUGGAAUAUGGUAGAUAUCCAACCUUAGGUGCUACAAGAAUUACACGUUCCUUUCCUCCUCUGUCCUUUUCCUUCAUCCUUCCCUCUUUGUCUUCCAUCCUUCCCUUUCCCUCUCCUCUUAUCUUCCCUCUUUCCUCUGUCUCCACAUCUGUCUCUGUCUCCAUGACCACCUCUAUCUCCAUAUUCAGUUUAUCUCUAUCUCCAUGUCUAUCUCUGUCUCCAUGUCCACCUCUAUCUCCAUGUCUACUUAUCUCCAUUCUAUCUCCAUGUCCACCUCUAUCUGCAUGUCUACUUGUCUCCGUGUCUACCUGUUUCUCCAUGUCUACUUGUCUCCAUUCUAUCUCUAUGUCCACCUCUAUCUCCAUGUCUACUUGUCUCCAUUCUAUCUCCAUGU